GACGAACGCUGGCGGCGUGCUUAACACAUGCAAGUCGAACGGAAAGGCCCUGCUUUUGUGGGGUGCUCGAGUGGCGAACGGGUGAGUAACACGUGAGUAACCUGCCCUUGACUUUGGGAUAACUUCAGGAAACUGGGGCUAAUACCGGAUAGGAGCUCCUGCUGCAUGGUGGGGGUUGGAAAGUUUCGGCGGUUGGGGAUGGACUCGCGGCUUAUCAGCUUGUUGGUGGGGUAGUGGCUUACCAAGGCUUUGACGGGUAGCCGGCCUGAGAGGGUGACCGGCCACAUUGGGUCUGAGAUACGGCCCAGACUCCUACGGGAGGCAGCAGUGGGGAAUAUUGCACAAUGGGCGGAAGCCUGAUGCAGCAACGCCGCGUGCGGGAUGACGGCCUUCGGGUUGUAAACCGCUUUCGCCUGUGACGAAGCGUGAGUGACGGUAAUGGGUAAAGAAGCACCGGCUAACUACGU
rnacentral:rRNA from 1 species